AGUGAACGCUGGCGGUAGGCCUAACACAUGCAAGUCGAACGGCAGCACAGUAAGAGCUUGCUCUUACGGGUGGCGAGUGGCGGACGGGUGAGGAAUACAUCGGAAUCUACUUUUUCGUGGGGGAUAACGUAGGGAAACUUACGCUAAUACCGCAUACGACCUACGGGUGAAAGCAGGGGAUCUUCGGACCUUGCGCGAUUGAAUGAGCCGAUGUCGGAUUAGCUAGUUGGCGGGGUAAAGGCCCACCAAGGCGACGAUCCGUAGCUGGUCUGAGAGGAUGAUCAGCCACACUGGAACUGAGACACGGUCAAGACUCCUAAGGGAGGCAGCAGUGGGGAAUAUUGGACAAUGGGCGCAAGCCUGAUCCAGCCAUACCGCGUGGGUGAAGAAGGCCUUCGGGUUGUAAAGCCCUUUUGUUGGGAAAGAAAAGCAGCAGGUUAAUACCCAGCUGUUCCGACGGUACCCAAAGAAUAAGCACCGGCUAACUUCGUG
rnacentral:rRNA from 1 species